rnacentral:rRNA from 1 species
UACGAAGGGGGGCUAGCGUUGCUCGGAAUCACUGGGCGUAAAGCGCACGUAGGCGGAUUGUUAAGUCAGGGGUGAAAUCCUGGAGCUCAACUCCAGAACUGCCUUUGAUACUGGCGAUCUCGAGUCCGGGAGAGGUGAGUGGAACUGCGAGUGUAGAGGUGAAAUUCGUAGAUAUUCGCAAGAACACCAGUGGCGAAGGCGGCUCACUGGCCCGGUACUGAC